UGAUAAAACCUGCAAGGUACUACCCCACAU
rnacentral:tRNA from 1 species